UAGGAGAGGUGAUCGGUCGCUCUGAUACGUUUAUGUGUUCGGGGAGGAAAGUCCGGACUCCACAGGGCAGAAUGUCUCUGAUUUAUUGGAGAGGCCCUUUGUCAUAUCAAAGGGAAUGGAAAGUGCCACAGAAAAUAUACCGCCUUGAGCCUACCUUAAGUUUUAUGGUUAGGUUUAGGGUAAGGGUGAAAAGGUGGUGUAAGAGACCACCGCUUUGACGGCAACGUUAAAGGCAGGGUAAACCCCAUUCGGAGCAAGAUCAAAUAGAAAGCGAUGAAGUGGCCCGCUUCGUUGAGCUUCGGGUUGAUCGCAUUAGAUAAAUGACCGAACACGACAAAAUCCGGCUUAUAGCCUUUUCCUAUUGA
rnacentral:RNase_P_RNA from 1 species